rnacentral:miRNA from 1 species
AAUUGCACUGAUCCCGGCCUGC